GUAAAUUGCAUUAAGAUCACUAAUAUUAGGACAAAUACAAUUUAUAGGGCGUCAGGUAGCCUAGUGGUUAGAGUGUAGAGGUGGCAGGUAGCCUUGUGGUUGGGGCAGCAGGUAGCCUAGUGGUUAGAGUGUAGAGGUGGCAGGUAGCCUAGUGGUUGGGGCAGCAGGUAGCCUAGUUGUUGGGGCAGCAGGUAGUCUAGUGGUUAGAGUGUAGAGGUGGCAGGUAGCCUAGUGGUUGGGGCAGCAGGUAGCCUAGUGGUUAGAGUGUAGAGGUGGCAGGUAGCCUAGUGGUUGGGGCGGCAGGUAGCCUAGUGGUUGGGGCAGCAGGUAGUCUAGUGGUUAGAGUGUAGAGGUGGCAGGUAGCCUAGUGGUUGGGGCAGCAGGUAGCCUAGUGGUUAGAGUGUAGAGGUGGCAGGUAGCCUAGUGGUUGGGGCGGCAGGUAGCCUAGUGGUUGGGGCGGCCGGUAGCCUAGUGGUUAGAGUGCAGAGGUGGCAGGUAGCCUAGUGGUUGGGGCGGCAGGUAGCCUAAUGGUUAGAGUGCAGAGGCGGCAGGUAGCCUAGUGGUUAGAGUGUAGAGGUGGGAAAUAGCCUAAUGGUUGGGUUGGCAGGUAGCCUAGUGGUUAGAGUGUAGAGGUGGCAGGGAGCCUAGUGGUUGGGGCGGCAGGUAGCCUAGUGGUUGGGGCAGAAGGUAGUCCAGUGGUUAGAGUGUAGAGGUGGCAGGUAGCCUAGUGGUUGGGGCAGCAGGUAGCCUAGUGGUUAGAGUGUAGAGGUGGCAGGUAGCCUAGUGGUUGGGGCGGCAGGUAGCCUAGUGGUUGGGGCGGCCGGUAGCCUAGUGGUUAGAGUGCAGAGGUGGCAGGUAGCCUAGUGGUUGGGGCGGCAGGUAGCCUAAUGGUUAGAGUGCAGAGGCGGCAGGUAGCCUAGUGGUUAGAGUGUAGAGGUGGCAGGUAGCCUAGUGGUUAGAGUGUAGAGGUGGCAGGUAGCCUAGUGGUUGGGGCGGCAGGUAGCCUAGUGGUUGGG
rnacentral:lncRNA from 1 species